GCUGGAUUGGCUCACCGAUGGGAAGAUCUGGGCUACCUCGGACAGGCUGUGGCACCAGGCCCUGCCCUGUCAAAGCGGGAGGCAGCCAGCUCUCCUCAAAGGUAUUUGCUUCUUCAGAGCUGAGACUGAGGUGCUGAUCCAUCCACUGGGCUCCUACUAUCCUGAUUUUACCCUCCAAAGAAAUAGGAGGCAUAUAAAUCUUGUGCCUUACGAUCCACUCCAGUACUGACCAACAGAGGUUUCAAUGAGCUACUGGCAAGCUCCAAUUAGAGGGAAAUUUGGACUCAAUGAGUCCGUUGUGGGUACGAUUAGUUGUGUGAGCAGCCUUUGUGCCUGCAGGUUUCUGUGGUUGCAGAAUUAAGUAUGCACAAAGGAAGACCACCCUUUGAAAUUUAGGCCUCACAGGAUAACCGACUGUGUGCUGACUCGCGUUCAUAAAGGGCAGCUUUCUCCUCACACAGCAAGUACAAUCCAGCUUUAUAAUAGGGUGUUUUAUAUUCUACUGUUUGGAAAAGGUUGGAAAUAGAAUGCCUGUUCCUUCUAAUUCCCCAGGUUUUGGGUGGGGGGUAGUGAAGAAAUAUUUUCUUAUGAGUUGUUUGAAGCCAGUCACUCGUUCAUUCAGGGGCUGAUUAGCCAGUUUCUGAAUUAUCUGUGUGUUGCUAUUGUUUCUCCUCUAUGUCAGUCCUGGGGAUAUGCGCUCCGUGACCUCCACCAUCAGGCGGAACACCAGGAGGCUGGGCUGGUGGGAAUGGUGAAAUAACAACAGGCAAAGGAAGCAGCAGUUAAUUCCAAGGAUCCAGAAAUCACCCCACUCAUUGCAAUUUCCCCAAGUUAUACCGGGAACACUCGGAAGCAUCAUUAUGGAACAUCAAAAAUCUCUUCUGGGGUUGAACUCAAAGGUCAGAGCCAUAAGCUUUAUCCGAGUGCAUUUACCUGAGCAGUAUCCUGUCCAAAGACACACUGAUUGCCAAAGAAGUGGAUUACCGAUUCCAGUGGGCCAACAAACCUUUCAGUGAGGAUGGAAUACAGAAGUCGAUCUUCAUAUUCACCCUGAACGGGAAACUUUCGACAGUUCGGCUGCUAGAAGAGGAUGAACAGGAAUAGAGAGCAA